GGGAGAAGUCAUGGAGCACAUCUUCAGGGAGAACUUUCUUGGAAGGGUCACUGAAGAUGGUUUUGGAUUUCAGGAGGGUGAGGACUAGUCUAUGCAUCAGUGAAAUCAGCUACAAGUAGCUCUUCCCAAACCAUUCUUGGCCCUCUUCCCAUGAGACCACCAGAAUUUGUUUCAGACACCCACCAUCCCUGAGAGCCAGAACCCAGAAAAGCAGUGCUAAGAUGAUAUGGUAUAUGAGAGAGACCUCCAGACACUGGUCAAGCUUUUGGUUUUGAUAGCGUUCCACCAAUCAGCUGCCUUUUUCAGAAGUAAAACAGAUGGGUGCAAUCCUCAGACUUGAGAGAUGCAAAUCUACUCUCCUAAUCUUCCACAGACUCCAUGUGUAAUCUGGAGCAAGUCAUGGACAAACCUGCAAGGGUGGUAGCCUUCGUCACUGUGUAACCCGCUGGACUCCCCCAGUGAUAUACAGAUGCACAAAAUUUCUUGCCUGAAUGACAGAAUGAAGCCACUUCUGAGAACAACAUAGGGAGAUGUCAGGACCGGUGAUCUAAGCAGCUGCGGAGACUCUCAUGUGGUUCUAUGUUUCUAAAGCCAAUGAUGAAUUAAAAUUGAGACCAACAUUUCA